UACGAAGGGGGCUAGCGUUGCUCGGAAUCACUGGGCGUAAAGCGCACGUAGGCGGGUCGUUAAGUCGGGGGUGAAAUCCUGGAGCUCAACUCCAGAACUGCCUUCGAUACUGGCGAUCUUGAGUCUGGGAGAGGUGAGUGGAACUCCGAGUGUAGAGGUGAAAUUCGUAGAUAUUCGGAAGAACACCAGUGGCGAAGGCGGCUCACUGGCCCGGUACUGACGCUGAUGCACGAAAGCUAGGGGAGCAAACAGG
rnacentral:rRNA from 1 species